AAAAGGGGUUUUCCCCCUUAGUUACGGCGAGUGAAGCGGGAAGAGCUCAAAUUUGAAAUCUGGUGGCCUCAGGUCAUCCGAGUUGUAAUCUAUAGAAGUGUUUUCCGUGCUGGCUCAUGUACAAGUCCCUUGGAACAGGGCGUCAUAGAGGGUGAGAAUCCCGUCCUUGACAUGAACUACCAGUGCUCUGUGAUACAUUUUCAACGAGUCGAGUUGUUUGGGAAUGCAGCUCAAAAUGGGUGGUAAAUUCCAUCUAAAGCUAAAUAUUGGCGAGAGACCGAUAGCGAACAAGUACCGUGAGGGAAAGAUGAAAAGCACUUUGGAAAGAGAGUUAAACAGUAUGUGAAAUUGUUGAAAGGGAAACGAUUGAAGUCAGUCGUGCUCUUUGGAUUCAGCCGGUUCUGCCGGUGUACUUCCUUUGAGUGGGGUCAACAUCAGUUUUGAUCGCUGGAUAAAGGCUGGAGGAACGUAGUACCCUCGGGUAAACUUAUAGCCUCCUGUCACAUACAGUGGUUGGGACUGAGGAACGCAGCACGCCUUUAUGGCCGGGAUUCGUCCACGUACGUGCUUAGGAUGUUGACAUAAUGGCUUUAAACGACCCGUCUUGAAACACGGACCA
rnacentral:rRNA from 1 species